rnacentral:rRNA from 1 species
AUUGAACGCUGGCGGCAGGCCUAACACAUGCAAGUCGAGCGGAUGAAGGGAGCUUGCUCCUGGAUUCAGUGGCGGACGGGUGAGUAAUGCCUAGGAAUCUGCCUGGUAGUGGGGGAUAACGUCCGGAAACGGGCGCUAAUACCGCAUACGUCCUGAGGGAGAAAGUGGGGGAUCUUCGGACCUCACGCUAUCAGAUGAGCCUAGGUCGGAUUAGCUAGUUGGUGGGGUAAAGGCCUACCAAGGCGACGAUCCGUAACUGGUCUGAGAGGAUGAUCAGUCACACUGGAACGGAGACGCGGUCCAGACUCCUGCGGGAGGCCGCAGUGGGGAAUAUUGGACAAUGGGCGAAAGCCUGAUCCAGCCAUGCCGCGUGUGUGAAGAAGGUCUUCGGAUUGUAAAGCACUUUAAGUUGGGAGGAAGGGCAGUAAGUUAAUACCUUGCUGUUUUGACGUUACCAACAGAAUAAGCACCGGCUAACUUCGUG